rnacentral:sRNA from 1 species
UGUAUGGUGAACCGCUCAGACUACCGGUU